rnacentral:rRNA from 1 species
UACGUAGGGGGCUAGCGUUGUCCGGAAUCAUUGGGCGUAAAGAGCGUGUAGGCGGCCCGGUAAGUCCGCUGUGAAAGUCGGGGGGCUCAACCCUCGAAUGCCGGUGGAUACUGUCGGGCUAGAGUGCGGAAGAGGCGAGUGGAAUUCCGUGGUGAUAGCGGUGAAAUGCGCAGAUAUCUGGAGGAACACCGGUGGCGAAGGCGGCAUCCUGGACCGGCAUUGACGCUGAGGAGCGAAAGCCAGGGGAGCAACGGG